rnacentral:rRNA from 1 species
AGGAUGAACGCUGGCGGCGUGCUUAACACAUGCAAGUCGAACGGUGAAGCAGGAGCUUGCUCUUGUGGAUCAGUGGCGAACGGGUGAGUAACACGUGAGUAACCUGCCCUUGACUCUGGGAUAAGCACUGGAAACGGUGUCUAAUACCGGAUACGACCUCCGAAGGCAUCUUCUGGAGGUGGAAAGAAUUUCGGUCAAGGAUGGACUCGCGGCCUAUCAGCUAGUUGGUGAGGUAAUGGCCCACCAAGGCGACGACGGGUAGCCGGCCUGAGAGGGUGACCGGCCACACUGGGACUGAGACACGGCCCAGACUCCUACGGGAGGCAGCAGUGGGGAAUAUUGCACAAUGGGCGCAAGCCUGAUGCAGCAACGCCGCGUGAGGGACGACGGCCUUCGGGUUGUAACCGUCUUUAGUAGGUAAGAAGCGAAAGUGACGGUACCUGCAGAAAAGACACCGGCUAACUACGCGCCAGCAGCCGCGGU